GCUGGGCAUGGUGUCGCAUGCCUGUAAUCCCAGCUACUCAGGAGGCUGAGGCAGGAGAAUCGCUUGAACCUGGGAGGUGGAGGUUGCAGUGAGCAGAGAUUGCACCACUGCACUCCUGCCUGGGCAACAGAGCAGGACUCUGUCUUUAAAAAAAAAAAAAAAAAUUCAUCAUCUUGCCUCAGUGGUCUUUAUGUCUUGGUAUACUUCUUUUUUUUUUUUUUUGAGACGGAGUCUCGCUCUGUCGCCCAUGCUGGAGUACAAUGGCGCGAUCUCCGCUCACUGCAAGCUCCGCCUCCCGGGUUCACACCGUUCUCCUGCCUCA
rnacentral:SRP_RNA from 1 species